GAUGAACGCUGGCGGCGUGCCUAAUACAUGCAAGUCGAGCGAACGGACGAGAAGCUUGCUUUUCUGAUGUUAGCGGCGGACGGGUGAGUAACACGUGGAUAACCUACCUAUAAGACUGGGAUAACUUCGGGAAAACGGAGCUAAUACCGGAUAAUAUUUUGAACCGCAUGGUUCAAAAGUGAAAGACGGUCUUGCUGUCACUUAUAGAUGGAUCCGCGCUGCAUUAGCUAGUUGGUAAGGUAACGGCUUGCCAAGGCAACGAUGCAUAGCCGACCUGAGAGGGUGAUCGGCCACACUGGAACUGAGACACGGUCCAGACUCCUACGGGAGGCAGCAGUAGGGAAUCUUCGGCAAUGGGCGAAAGCCUGACGGAGCAACGCCGCGUGAGUGAUGAAGGUCUUCGGAUCGUAAAACUCUGUUAUUAGGGAAGAACAUAUGUGUAAGUAACUGUGCACAUCUUGACGGUACCUAAUCAGAAAGCCACGGCUAACUACGUG
rnacentral:rRNA from 1 species